rnacentral:rRNA from 1 species
GAUGAACGCUGGCGGCGUGCCUAAUACAUGCAAGUCGAGCGAACAGACGAGGAGCUUGCUCCUCUGACGUUAGCGGCGGACGGGUGAGUAACACGUGGAUAACCUACCUAUAAGACUGGGAUAACUUCGGGAAACCGGAGCUAAUACCGGAUAAUAUAUUGAACCGCAUGGUUCAAUAGUGAAAGACGGUUUUGCUGUCACUUAUAGAUGGAUCCGCGCCGCAUUAGCUAGUUGGUAAGGUAACGGCUUACCAAGGCAACGAUGCGUAGCCGACCUGAGAGGGGAACCGCCCACCCGGAAACUGAGAAACGGCCCGACCCCUCACGGGGGGAGGAGGGGGGAAUUUUUCCGAAAGGGGGGAAACCCUACCGAGACAACGCCGGGGGGGGGAGGAGGGGUUUGGGUUGGAAAAACUUUUUUUUUGGGGAAAAAAAAAUGGGGAAAAAACUAUGCCCGUCUUGCCGGAACCAAAAAAAAAAGCCCCGCUAACAAUGGG